UACGUAGGGGGCGAGCGUUGUCCGGAAUGAUUGGGCGUAAAGGGCGCGUAGGCGGCUGCUUAAGUCUGGAGUGGAAGUCCAUUUUUCAAGGGUGGAAUUGCUUUGGAAACUGAGCAGCUGGAGUGCAGGAGAGGUUAUCGGAAUUCCCGGUGUAGCGGUGAAAUGCGUAGAGAUCGGGAGGAACACCAGUGGCGAAGGCGGGUAACUGGACUGCAACUGACGCUGAGGCGCGAAAGUGUGGGGAGCAAACAGG
rnacentral:rRNA from 1 species